ACAGAGGGAAGACCAUGUGAGGACAUGGUGAGAAGCCAUUACCUGUAAGCGGAAAGAAAGAAGUCUCACCUGAGACCAGCCUCACACCUCCUGUCCUCAGAACUCUGCUGACCAUGAAGACUGCAUGAGAACCAUUUCCACUACUGCACAUGCAAGAAACUGGUGGUAUCAUCUUACCUCCAUAUGAGUAGAUGGUACACAACUGAGCCCUUUCUGUCUUCAGACUCUGCAUGACGCCCAGGUC